rnacentral:rRNA from 1 species
UACGUAGGUGGCAAGCGUUGUCCGGAUUUAUUGGGCGUAAAGGGAACGCAGGCGGUCUUUUAAGUCUAAUGCGAAAGCCUUCGGCUCAACCGAAGAAGUGCAUUGGAAACUGGGAGACUUGAGUGCAGAAGAGGACAGUGGAACUCCAUGUGUAGCGGUGAAAUGCGUAGAUAUAUGGAAGAACACCAGUGGCGAAGGCGGCUGUCUGGUCUGUAACUGACGCUGAGGAGCGAAAGCGUGGGGAGCGAACAGG